GGGAUUCCCUUAKUAAGUGCGACUGAAAAGGGAUGAGCCCAGCGCAUAAGCCCAGUUCUCCGAACGCUCAAUGGGCGGUGUUGCGUUUCAGAGUGUUGAAGGUUGUUGGAUCCCUGCACCGUCUAAAUUGCAUGUUGGAAGAAGUUACAUAUCCCCACAGAUGGUGAAAGGCCAGUAAGGCGGAACGUCUUGGAUGACGCUUGGGAACCAAAGACUAACAGCACUCUGUAGAGUCGGGUUGCUUUGCAUAGCAGCCUAAAGAAGGUGGUAAACUCCAUCUAAGGCUAAAUACGACCAUGAGACCGAUAGUGGACAAGUACCGUGAGGGAAAGUUGAAAAGGACUUUGAAGAGAGAGUUCAAUAGCACGUGAAACUGUUGUGAGCCUAAACGGGUGGAACAUAGAAGAUCGAAAAGAGGGGAUUUCUGCUGUCCUUUUACUGGCCGCGGUAGUGGGUUUAAGGAUGUAAAAGUCCGUUCCUGUUGCGCGCCUCUCGCAGGUUGGAAGGGCCGCGUCGGUGAUUUAUCGCCGGAGCGGUCGGACUGUCUCUGCGAUGCGCGUGCGGGCCCUACUGUGGCGCCAGUGCCCUAUUGUACCUACUGUCUUUGGGACUCGUUGAGGGAAGCAGUAUCCUCCUCUAAGUAGAUCACUGCAACCAGUCAAAGGGAAGACAGUCGCCAUUAGGCGAAGAGGGUCGGUGUUACAGGCAGCCCCGUCGGCGCGACGCGGCGGCUUCCCCCGUGGAUGUCGUCGUCUGGAGCGCCGGCGGGUGAUCCCUGCCCGGCAUACAUAAUCUCUCCUGCUGAGCAAUAGCACGGAGAGAGGUAUCCCAGUCUUCCUUUAGCUGUUGAGUUCGGACGCCGCCGUCUCGGCGGCGUCCUUGCAGUGUUACAAUUGUCGGUUGUCUACCCGACCCGUCUUGAAACACGGACCAAGGAGUCUAGCAUGUGUGCAAGUCAUUGGAUUGCUCAAAUCUAAAGGCGCAAUGAAGGUGAGAGUACUGCGGCAGCGGCGGCUUGCUGCCGCUGCCGUUGAUUUACCAUGGGCAGAUCCCUUAGGCGGUCCGAUGCUACCCGCGGGCGCGCGUUGGAGGUGGUGGGUGGGUGAGCCAUUUUCCCCGCCCAUCUUACUCUCCGGCCCCUCGCGGUGUAGAGUAGGGCAUGCCGACCAUACUCCUGUGAGAGGGGGCGCAGGCCCGGGACUUGUCAAUACGGCACACGCCUCCUCCUCUCUUCCGGGCGAUAAAGGCAUGAUCCAGUUGACUGGGUGUAGUCCCAAGUUUCGGAGAGAUGCUUGGGGAGGGCCGUGUAGUCGACAAGUACCUUGAGCAUACAUGUUAGUACCCGAAAGAUGGUGAACUAUGCCUGGCCAGGAUGAAGCCAGAGGAAACUCUGGUGGAGGUCCGAAGCGGCUCUGACGUGCAAAUCGAUCGUCUGAGUUGGGUAUAGGGGCGAAAGACCAAUCGAACCAUCUAGUAGCUGGUUCCCCCCGAAGUUUCCCUUAGGAUAGCUGGUGCUCAGGGAGUGAUUUACAUCCGGUAAAGAGAAUGAUUGGAGGAAUUGGGGGUGUAAUGCCCUCAAACUACUCUCAAACUUUAAAUGGGUGAGAUGUCAUGCUUGCUUGACUGGUGAAGCAUAGACGAUAAAUCAGAGUACCAAGUGGGCCAAUUUUGGUAAGCAGAACUGGCGCUGUGGGAUGCACCAAAAGUGUGAGUUAAGGGGCCUGACUGAAAGCUAAGUGGUACCAUAAAAGGUGUCGGUUGCUAUAGACAGCAGGGCGGUGGCCAUGGAAGUUGGAAUCCGCUAAGGAGUGUGUAACAACUCACCUGCCGAAGCAACCUGCCCUGAAAAUGGAAUGGCACUAAAGCAUUCAAUAUGCCCGAUACUCAACCGCCAGAACAGAUACAAUGGCACUAUGACGAGAGGUGGGCUAUGACGCGGCGGCACCCCGGUGCCGUCGCCACUACUAAUCUUGUUCGAAGCCCUGGCGGGUAGGGGGGCGUGGCGGUAAGCGCUGAAGGGCAGAGCGUGAGCUUGCCUGGAGCUGCCGCUAGUGCAGAUCUUGGUGGUAGUAGCAAACACAGUCUAGAGGGUUGUUCCUGGAGGUCCGCUGGGAGGAAGGGUUCCAUGUCUACACCGAAUGGGCAUGGGUUAGUCAGUCCUGAACCCAAGUCUAAAUAGACUUAUAUUACACAGGGAUCCGAUGGACGUAAGAAUAUUGUAUGGAGGAGUUAGGGGGAUAUCCGGCGGCGGCGGCUUUGGCCUAAGCCGGCGGCGCUGUCCUCCUGCUCGCCUUGUCGGGGCGUGAAAACCCCUUCGAGGGAGGCAUCUGGAAGAUUGAACCUGCCUUUCCCAGUCCACAACAUGGUGCUCGCCAAUGCGAUGUUGAACAAGAUGAGGGCGGCCGUGUGUGUAUGCAUGCGGCCGCUUCGGCAUCUCCAACGCAUGGUGCGACGGUCUGUGUAAGAAUUCGCGGUGAAAGGGAAUACGGUUAAUAUUCCGUGACCUAACUCCGACGCCUUUGGUACGGCUCAAAUGCAGCCUGCCAUAGCAAAGAACGGGACGUUGCGCAAGCAAUAUUUCAAAGAGAGUAUUUUGCAGACAUCGGCAGAGGACCGGGAGAGAGAUCUCUUUUCUGUUUAAGGCAUCUAAGGCCCUGGAAUUUUCGUUAAGAAGCGAAUGGGUUUAUGAUCUAAUAGAAUGCCGAAGAGUACGGCGAUUACGCCUGUACCCCGUGCUCCUCUGACGAUCCUUGAAAAUGCAAAAGAACUUCUUUCCUGCAUGAAUUUGCUGGGAGUGGUAUAACCGCCGGCCAGAGGUGGGUGCCCUCCCUUCAUAGGCAAAAUCAUGGUGUCGGAGUUAGUCUGUACCGGACUCCGCAGCUGG
rnacentral:rRNA from 1 species